rnacentral:rRNA from 1 species
UCAGGUGGCCGCAGAGAAUAGGCCCAAGCGACUGUUUACCAAAAACAUAGGUUUCUGCUAAGUCGCAAGACGAUGUAUAGGAGCUGACGCCUGCCCGGUGCUGGAAGGUUAAGGGGAUCUGUUAGAGCAAUCGAAGCAGUGAACUUAAGCCCCAGUAAACGGCGGCCGUAACUAUAACGGUCCUAAGGUAGCGAAAUUCCUGGUCGGGUAAGUUCCGACCCGCACGAAAGGCGUAACGAUUUGGGCACUGUCUCAACAACAGACUCGGUGAAAUUGUAAUUCCGGUGAAGAUGCCGGAUACCUGCGACAGGACGGAAAGACCCCAUGGAGCUUUACUGUAGCUUGACAUUGGGUCUUGGUACUACAUGUACAGGAUAGGU